rnacentral:rRNA from 1 species
AUGGGGGAAACCCUGAUGCAGCCAUGCCGCGUGUGUGAAGAAGGCCUUCGGGUUGUAAAGCACUUUCAGUUGUGAGGAAAAGUUAGUAGUUAAUACCUGCUAGCCGUGACGUUAACAACAGAAGAAGCACCGGCUAACUCCGUGCCAGCAGCCGCGGUAAUACGGAGGGUGCGAGCGUUAAUCGGAAUUACUGGGCGUAAAGCGCACGCAGGCGGUUUGUUAAGCUAGAUGUGAAAGCCCCGGGCUCAACCUGGGAUGGUCAUUUAGAACUGGCAGACUAGAGUCUUGGAGAGGGGAGUGGAAUUCCAGGUGUAGCGGUGAAAUGCGUAGAUAUCUGGAGGAACAUCAGUGGCGAAGGCGACUCCCUGGCCAAAGACUGACGCUCAUGUGCGAAAGUGUGGGUAGCGAACAGGAUUAGAUACCCUGGUAGUCCACACCGUAAACGCUGUCUACUAGCUGUGUGUGGCUUUAAGGCGUGCGUAGCGAAGCUAACGCGCUAAGUAGACCGCCUGGGGAGUACGGCCGCAAGGUUAAAACUCA